UUAGCCACAUCAGUUCACACGGAUGUACCCAGUUAGUUUGUUCAAUUUAUCUUUGCUUUAAUAAAGUCUCUAAAAGUACGUUUAAGGAUUGUAGUUCAUGCUUUAUGUCAUAAGAGAAAGAGAGAGAGAGAAAGAGAGAGAACUCCUUCAAUUUGUUGGCAAGCUUGAAAGGCUAAAUUGCUGGAGUCCUUCCCAUCUUCAGGACCUUGUUUUGCAUCUAAAAAUCCUCCUUUGGCCCCUCUUUAUUGCCUUUAUGUACAUUUUCUUUUUACAGACACACACACACACAUAUAUAUAUAACUGAGAUGCAAAUCGGAAGCAAUGUGGAUCCUAAAAAAUUGGAAUAUACAAACAGAAAAAUCCAAACGCAAGAAACCAAGGAAAUGCGAAAAGGAGGAUGGUCAGUAUAUGUGUUUAGUAACUAAGCUAUAUUAGAAGCGAUGAAAAAAAAAAAACUAUGACAUGAGGUAUCAUAAAUUAAAAUUAUCAACAAUCUCCUCGAAUAAUAUGUAUCUAAUAGCUUUAGAAUACCUAUUCCCAUUACGAAACGUAGAGAAACUACAACCAUAACAAAUACAUUUAAAAACGCAAAUAUGCAGCAAAUCCCUAACACCAUUGCAAGCAAUUAAGAAAAAAGUGCCUCUUAAAUGAACCACCAAAUUCAAAUUAACAGUUCUCUCCAUAAAAGAAAAAAUACAUGAUUUGGUUCAAAACAGUUCAAAUUCCACAACCCGGAGCAAUGGGACGUAAUGUGAUGGCUGCAUCCAAACGAAGAGCUUCAAUCAAUUCUAGUCAACGAAAUAUCAAUAAUUUAUCAAAAAAUUAUUCAAAUAAUGAACACCAGGGGACUGAGGAAAGUUAAAAUCUGAGACAAAAAAAAAAAUUUGAAAUUUUAGAGAGAUAUUUUUAUUGGAUUCAGAUUCGAAACGCGGUAUGGUAGCAUAGAGGGUUUAACUAAUCUUACUCGGGGGAUGGAAUAGAAAGUGCUGAGAGUGGUUUGAAGCCAGCGCAAGAAAAAUGGAAACAAACUUCCUGCAGUUCAGAAAACCCAGAUGAAAAACGGAAAACAGUUUUUGAUGAUCGUACCUGGUCUGAGAGAGGAGUAGUGCUGGCAGAGAUCUCUGGUGAAAAAACUAAAGAUGGACCAAACCAUUGAACAAAGAUAACCCAGAUUUUUAAAAUUCAAAUCACAAAAAUUUGAACAAAGAAAAGAGAACCCACAACCAAACCCGAAACAAAUAUGUCGGAGAAGCAUUCAUGCAAACGAAAUCCGACCGCGCAUUGAAAAAAAAAAAGAUGAGAGAGAGACAGAGACAGAGACGAACCUACUUGAUAUGAUCUGUAAUUAGUGAUUAGCUUAAUCACUAUUAAGGGUUUAAUUCUUGAGAUUAUUAGGCUUAUUCCUGAUAUUUAGUGAAGUCGGUUAGAAAUGCCACUUGGCAGUAAAGGUGUAAAGUCUAUAAAAUGAACUGUGCUCCCUCAAUUGUGGCAGAUCAGAAUUUACACACAAGAAAUAUAAACAAAAACAAUUCAAGAGCUCCGCUUUCUCUCUCUCUUCCUUCCCUCUCCUUCUCUAUCCUCUGUGUUACUUGCAGGUUGAUUGAGGGAAUUGAGAAUUGGAUCUUAUCAAUGUUAUCAUCUUUCUUGACUCCUGGUUUCCCUCCUGUGCACGCCCACCCAAUCCGUCUUUCUGUCAUGGAUGCUGUGGGCAAAGCUUCGAUUCGCGAAGCCGUGGAUGCUGUAUUCGUACCCUUCCUUGCGAAGGUCUGCUGUGAAUUGGCUCUCAAUGCUGCGAGAGACUCCACUCCAACCCCUAUGUCCGCUAUCAGCGACGGGGGAGAAUCAAAUCCAGCCCCAAUGUUUUCCGAACACAGAGAAUCGCAUGAUCUCGGUCAUCCCAGCCUUCAAGGAGGUGGCAAACAACCGAGAAUUCCAUCGCCAAUCACAGUCCAUUCCGUUCCGCCUUUGUUUUCUUCAUCACCAUUGUUGUGAGCAAUCACAACUCCGUCUGUCAAGCCACAAUCGAACUCGAACGCUUCACUAGCAACCCACACCAAUAAUAGAAAACCAUUUUUGAGCAACCAGGAAGCUCCAACAAGUGUGCAAGGUCUGGGUUUUACUCUCAGUAAUGAAGGAGCCAAAGCAUCAAGCCCCCUUCAAUGGUUACGACAUGACGCCAAUGAUACCAUCAACAUUAAGGGCUAUGGAUACCACUGAAGCAUCAAAUUACAGAUUAUUCGCCUCUGCAAGCAGCCGUCAACGAAUACAAACACCACCAAACGUAGACAUGAGAGAAAGUGUUUGAUGAAAUAGCUAAGAGACAAAGCGAGGACGCUGCGGGAAUCCUUUUCGAUCGAAUGACCCCUCUUUUUCAUAACAUGGUUGUAUGCUCUCAAUUCUGCAUAACUAUAGGUGAAUUCUGGAAUGGAUGGGAUCCGGGAGGGGAAUUAGUUAAAAUUCUAGGGGUGAUGCUCUAUUCCAAGCACCACGAGAACCAUGGUGACAAGUACCGUUAAUUUUUUAUCCCACAGCUACACUUCAUUAAUCGUCCAAUGCAUUUUACUUGUUUACUACAAGUGAUGCAAUAUGAGGAAGCUACUACUACAUGUGAAAGUGUUUUUAAUAUUUCCGGGUGAUCGGAGCUCCUUUAUUGAUGUCGGCAAUGCGGGGAAACUCGAUACGGUGCUUAAUGUGGUAGAUUCAAUGUCGGAUGAUGAUGGGGUUGAAUUCUUUAACAAUCCAAAUAAGAAGAGUAUGUUGUUUCUAAAGUUAACUGGUGAGUCUUCUGAUGUUUUCAAAUCAACAUAUCGUGAAGUUGCUGAGAAAUAUAAGAAAGAAGGGAUAUGUGCUCCUUAUUUCGUGGGGUUUCAAAUGACUCGCUUUUUCAGUUGGUCUCCGAGAUGAAAGCUAUAGGAAUUACUUCUUUUGCAAAAGCACCAAUGGAAUUUCUUAGUCCUGUUGAACUUCAACUAAAAAUGGUGUGUAUUCUUUUUUAUUCAUAGGCUGCACUUUUUAUGACGAAUUAGGCUAUCCAUGAUAGGAUAAAAGGCAUAAUCAUCUCCAUGAAUGCACAGAUCCCUUACUUCAAGAAAAUCUUUUCCAUGAUUGCCAACCAUCUAACAAGUAUUCUGAAUUUAAAGAUUGAGGUCAAUCUCCCUUUGAAGAAGGAUGGAACGACAAUUGCUUCAAUCUUAUUUCUAUUAAUUCAUGGAAUGCUUUUCAAGGAGUUGUUAUGGUUGGCAGAGAUGAAACAAUAUUGUGAUGAUGCCACUUUGUCUAAUGCCUCGCCAUAAUCCGAAGAAGUCACUGAUUGCACGUACCCUUUAUUUCUUGGAAGUCACUUCUCGAGUUGCCAACAAUCACAACAAUUCAGGAAAACAUUGUGAUGGCAAAGACUCUGCUGUGUGGUUCCACUCUAAUACUAUAUAUACAAUGGACAUUUCCCGUUUAUUUGAGAAUGCGGGCUUAUUUGAGCCACAUAUUCAUCAGCAUGGUGCUGCUGCUAGUGCCAUAGAGAGGAAAUCAUUAGUAAAUCAGCAGCAAAACAAGAGGGUGAAUUACACAAAGCAAACAAGGGGUCACUUUGUUGUGAAGUUCUCUGCAAAAGAAAUUGCUACAGCUAUUAAGUUCCCUGAUGCCAUGGAAAUUGCUGAUACUAUUGACAAGGUUGAACCUGAUGGUAUAAUGUCUAUUGAGUCAUCCUCCUUAUGGGAUAAAGGAAAAGCAAUGGUGGAUGGUAUUGUGAUAGCUAAGAGACUCAACAACUUUCCUCAUUGCUGUUGUUACUAGGGGUUAAGGAGAUUGAGCUUGGAAGGUCCAGAAUUGAUUAUAAGGGAUAAUCUGCAUACAUCACAUGACAGAGAGAAAUUCUUUCCAGCUGAGACAUUAAGGCUUCUUGGGGAGUCAUCUCCAAAGCUUGUUCUCUUUUUUUUCAGCAUCUGGGAUGGGUUGCAGAUAUCAACCAGGGUUUUUGCAGUCCAAGUUUUGGUGCAGUGCCUUGGUCAGACAACAGAAGCAGGGAGGCUUAUGAUGAAUUCAUUGCGAAAAAGUUUUGGCGUGUGAUUGAUCACAUUAAAAUUUUAUGUGGUUUUUCUUACAUCGUUGAUGUUCCAACAACGAUUUAUGAAGACAACGAUGCAUGUAUCGAUCAAUUAAAGAAAUGAUCCACCAAAGGCGACAUUACAAAGUAUACCAUCACAAAGUUUUUCUUCACUCAUCGGCAACAAGAGCAUUAGGAGAUCAAAGUUUAGCAAAUCUGAUCCUAAGACAAUUAUGUUGAUCUCUUCAUGAAGUCAAUACAAAAUCUACUUUUCAAAAGCUUGUUCAUGAAAUUAGACUACAUAAACUUUUAAAUUUAUGUCACUGAUAGUUCUCUUGGGGAGUUUUAUCGAACUCAGGAGAGUGUCUUAUAGUAUA